rnacentral:rRNA from 1 species
AUUGAACGCUGGCGGCAGGCCUAACACAUGCAAGUCGAGCGAGCGGCGGACGGGUGAGUAAUGUAUGGGCAUCUGCCUGAUGGAGGGGGAUAGCUACUGGAAACGGUAGCUACUAACGCCUACCAUCAGCUGAACCCGUAUGGGAUUAGCUUGUGGGUGGGGUAACGGCUCACCUAGGCGACGAUCCCUAGCUGGUCUGAGAGGAUGAUCAGCCACACUGGGACUGAGACACGGUCCAGACUCCUACGGGAGGCAGCAGUGGGGAAUAUUGCACAAUGGGCGAAAGCCUGAUGCAGCCAUGCCGCGUGUAUGAAGAAGGCCUUCGGGUUGUAAAGCACUUUCAGUCGGGAGGCGUUACCGACAGAAGAAGCACCGGCUAACUUCGUGCCAGCAGCCGCGGUAAUAC